UACGAAGGGAGCUAGCGUUAUUCGGAAUCACUGGGCGUAAAGCGCACGUAGGCGGAUGUGUCAGUCAGGGGUGAAAUCCCGGAGCUCAACUUCGGAACUGCCUUUGAUACAGCACGUCUUGAGUCCGAUAGAGGUGGGUGGAAUUCCUAGUGUAGAGGUGAAAUUCGUAGAUAUUAGGAAGAACACCGGUGGCGAAGGCGGCCCACUGGAUCGGUACUGACGCUGAGGUGCGAAAGCGUGGGGAGCAAACAGG
rnacentral:rRNA from 1 species